rnacentral:rRNA from 1 species
AACGCGAAGAACCUUACCUGGAUUUGACAUCCUCUGACAGCGCUAGAGAUAGUGAUUUGGUAGCAAUACCACAGAGAGACAGGUGCUGCAUGGCUGUCGUCAGCUCGUGUGGUGACAUGUUGGGUUAAGUCCCGCAACGAGCGCAACCCUUGUCCUUAGUUGCCAGCAUUUAGUUGGGCUCUCUAAGGAGACUGCCGUGGUUAACACGGAGGAAGGUGGGGAUGACGUCAAGUCCUCAUGGCCUUUAUAUCCAGGGCGACACACGUGAUACAAUGGACGGUACAGAGGGAUGCCAAGAGGCAACUCGGAGCUAAUCUCAAAAAGCCGUUCUCAGUUCGGAUUGGAGUCUGCAACCCGACUCCAUGAAGUUGGAAUCGCUAGUAAUCGCGGAUCAGCACGCCGCGGUGAAUACGUUCCCGGGCCUUGUACACACCGGUACUA